rnacentral:rRNA from 1 species
AUGAACGCUAGCGGCAGGCUUAACACAUGCAAGUCGAGGGGCAGCAUGUCCAGCAAUGGAUGAUGGCGACCGGCGGAAGGGUGCGUAACGCGUGAGCAACAUGCCCUAUACAGGGAGAUACACCAGGGAAACUUGGUCUAAUAUCCCAUAGCAUUCAUUGAAGGCAUCUNUAAUGAAUUAAAGCUUCGGUGGUAUAGGAUUGGCUCGCGUGACAUUAGCCAGAUGGUGAGGUAACGGCUCACCAUAGCAAUGAUGUCUAGGGGUUUUGAGAGGAAGGCCCCCCACACUGGGACUGAGACACGGCCCAGACUCCUACGGGAGGCAGCAGUGAGGAAUAUUGGACAAUGGAUGGAAAUCUGAUCCAGCCAUGCCGCGUGCAGGAAGACGGCCUUAUGGGUUGUAAACUGCUUUUAUACGGGAGCAAUAAGGGUUACGAGUAAUCCGAUGAGAGUACUGUAUGAAUAAGGAUCGGCUAACUCCGUGCCAGCAGCCGCGGUAAUACGGAGGAUCCGAGCGUUAUCCGGAUUUAUUGGGUUUAAAGGGUGCGUAGGCGGCCAUUUAAGUCAGCGGUGAAAUUUUGCAGCUUAACUGUAACAGUGCCGUUGAUACUGUUUGGCUAGGAUUUGGUUGUAGUGUGCGGAAUGUGUGGUGUGGCGGUGAAAUGCUUAGAUAUCACACAGAACACCGAUUGCGAAGGCAGCACACUAAGUCAUUAUUGACGCUGAGGCACGAAAGUGUGGGGAUCAAACAGGAUUAGAUACCCUGGUAGUCCACACUGUAAACGAUGAUAACUCGCUGUCGGCGAUACACAGUCGGGGCCAAGCGAAAGC